rnacentral:rRNA from 1 species
UGACGCUGGCGGCAGGCCUACACAUGCAAUUCGAGCGGAAACGAGUUAUCUGAACCUUCGGGGAACGAUAACGGCGUCGAGCGGCGGACGGGUGAGUAAUGCCUAGGAAAUUGCCCUGAUGUGGGGGAUAACCAUUGGAAACGAUGGCUAAUACCGCAUGAUGCCUACGGGCCAAAGAGGGGGACCUUCGGGCCUCUCGCGUCAGGAUAUGCCUAGGUGGGAUUAGCUAGUUGGUGAGGUAAGGGCUCACCAAGGCGACGAUCCCUAGCUGGUCUGAGAGGAUGAUCAGCCACACUGGAACUGAGACACGGUCCAGACUCCUACGGGAGGCAGCAGUGGGGAAUAUUGCACAAUGGGCGCAAGCCUGAUGCAGCCAUGCCGCGUGUGUGAAGAAGGCCUUCGGGUUGUAAAGCACUUUCAGUCGUGAGGAAGGUGGUGUAGUUAAUAGCUGCAUUAUUUGACGUUAGCGACAGAAGAAGCACCGGCUAACUCCGUGCCAGCAGCCGCGGUAAUACGGAGGGUGCGAGCGUUAAUCGGAAUUACUGGGCGUAAAGCGCAUGCAGGUGGUUUGUUAAGUCAGAUGUGAAAGCCCGGGGCUCAACCUCGGAAUAGCAUUUGAAACUGGCAGACUAGAGUACUGUAGAGGGGGGUAGAAUUUCAGGUGUAGCGGUGAAAUGCGUAGAGAUCUGAAGGAAUACCCGGUGGCGAAGGCGGCCCCCUGGACAGAUACUGACACUCAGAUGCGAAAGCGUGGGGAGCAAACAGGAUUAGAUACCCUGGUAGUCCACGCCGUAAACGAUGUCUACUUGGAGGUUGUGGCCUUGAGCCGUGGCUUUCGGAGCUAACGCGUUAAGUAGACCGCCUGGGGAGUACGGUCGCAAGAUUAAAACUCAAAUGAAUUGACGGGGGCCCGCACAAGCGGUGGAGCAUGUGGUUUAAUUCGAUGCAACGCGAAGAACCUUACCUACUCUUGACAUCCAGAGAACUUUCCAGAGAUGGAUUGGUGCCUUCGGGAACUCUGAGACAGGUGCUGCAUGGCUGUCGUCAGCUCGUGUUGUGAAAUGUUGGGUUAAGUCCCGCAACGAGCGCAACCCUUAUCCUUGUUUGCCAGCGAGUAAUGUCGGGAACUCCAGGGAGACUGCCGGUGAUAAACCGGAGGAAGGUGGGGACGACGUCAAGUCAUCAUGGCCCUUACGAGUAGGGCUACACACGUGCUACAAUGGCGCAUACAGAGGGCGGCCAACUUGCGAAAGUGAGCGAAUCCCAAAAAGUGCGUCGUAGUCCGGAUUGGAGUCUGCAACUCGACUCCAUGAAGUCGGAAUCGCUAGUAAUCGUGGAUCAGAAUGCCACGGUGAAUACGUUCCCGGGCCUUGUACACACCGCCCGUCACACCAUGGGAGUGGGCUGCAAAAGAAGUAGGUAGUUUAACCUUCGGGGGGACGCUUACCACUUGUGGUCAUGACUGGGUG